CAUAAACUCAUAAUCUCCCGAAAACUAACCAGAUUUGAAUCUGAGGCGGUGGCUCUAGCGACAUCAGUGACAUCCGCAGGCGAAAAAAGGUCAUGGAUGAAUCUGAUGACUGGAAUCACCAAUUAGCUUCUUCCUUUUGAUUCAAUUGGAUGCUUAAGAAUCAAAUGAAUUUAAUUAUGGAAUGUAGGAGUAGCUUUUGGUGGUUAAUUGAUCUCAUUAUGGAUCUGAAGUGAGUUGGUCUAACUGCUGUCCCUGUUACAUGCUGCUAGCAAAUUCAGAACUAUACUAACAUGAUUAAAUCUCUAUGAAAAUGAUGGUAAUGAUCAUGCCGAAUUGCUCUCUCUGUUUGAUUCUGACAAUAGGUCAUGGAGCUAGGGAUUUGUACAUUAUUGAAUGAUGAAGUCCACAAGAAUCCAUUCUGUUGAAAGGGGCAACAACAAUAUAAAGAAAAAAUCCACAAGCUUGGUGGUAAGGUAUUCAUGUGCAAAGAGAAAGUGGCAUGGCAUGGAAGAAAAUUGACAUGAACCUUAAAAGGACAUGAUCAUGAGAAUGAUGGAUGAAGAAAUUAGAGCUAGG